ACUAAGAUAUGAUUAAUCCUUAUUGGAAGGAUAUAAUCAAUCCUUAUCUGGUUUAUUUCAUAACCAAACCUUAUCCACAAAAGAAUUAAUCUUAAUUAAAUGAGGGUUUUCCACCAAAUUUUGAAGUUGCAUGUAAAUGAUUGCCUAUAGAGACUCUUUUUGGUCUGGAUUAUCUGACAAGUAGUUGUACCCUUUGGUGCUCUACCAUUUCUCUUAUUUUCACUUGUUUCAGGGAAUGUAACUGAGAUCAAUCAAAGGAGAAAAAAGAACCUUGACUUUUAACUGGAGAGAAGCUGACUUGCUGUCUAAAUCUGGCAGCAGAGCGGGAGGAGGAAUGAGGGGUACCAUGCUCGUCAAUGCCAGAUGUGACAUCAUACGCAACUGGAAGAGGCGUCACGCAACCCCUGUUCACAUGCACAGCCUGGGGUGGGUUCUCAGUUCCUAUGGUCUAUGGACGCCCCUGGUAACUACUGGAGAGAUGCCGUCUGAGGCAAGGUACUCAUAAUAGACCCCAAACCAACAAAAUUAUUUGUUUAUCUAGUUUUUUUUUACCUGCAUCAAAUAGUUUACUAAAGAAUCUUUAUUAUCUUCCCAGUAGGACUUCAGCAUUUCUUCUGAAGGAAACUUGUCACAGCCAAGCUCAACUGUUAUC